CCUUUAAAAAAUUUGAUAUACACUUGUAACUUGUUGAAUAGAUUCAAGUUUUUCCUAAGUUUAGGUAAAUUUUUGUACAUACUUACAAUAGAUAAAUUUAAUCCAUGCAUACUUACGAAUAAAAAAUCAAUCUUCUGACUUCAUCAAAUCAACUAAAAAAAAUAUCAUCAAUUAAUCAAUUCAACCUAUUAAAAAGUCAAACUGAAAAAUAAUGAGAAAAGGAAAGAAGUGCAAACCGUCCAUAUGGGAACACGAAAGCGAUCUUGGAGAGACAAUGGUCAAUUAAUCUAAAAAUGGUCCCAUCCAUAGGCUAUCAGGGCACUAAGAUAGGGCAACCCACACGCCCAUAGCUCAUGUCCACUUGCAAAGCUCAACCCCGACCAUUGCAAUGUUCAAUGUCCCCAAAACCAGCCACAUAAGUCCCUCAUCUAAUUUAAACCACCCUAACCCACUAGACCUAGAACCCUAUGGUCCAAAGCCCAGCCCCAAAGGGUGUCCAAAACCCACAUUUAAUAUACGCACACCCAUUGACGCAAACGUUGCAGAAGUAGUGAAAUUCAUUGUCAUGAUCCACAGAUGGCAAAAGACUUUCACUUUCCAAAGAAAAAUAUGUACUUUUGCUUCGGCACAUGCUCUGGCGAACCCACCCCCUCGCACCAUCAUCCUCCCACCCCCCAUCAAUAUCCUCUUUCAACUUCAUAAAUCUUUCAUUUAAUUCCAUGGCCAUUCUUUCUCAUAAAUAUAAUAAAUUUAUUUCAUCCAAAGCACAAAUGACCCAAAGAGAGAGCAUAGACAAAAUAUAUCAAUUGGUAGAUCUAUAUUAUAUAUAAAGUGAUUGAUUGAGUUGGUGAUACGAGUCAACUCGACACUAAUUUAACUAUAAAAUUACUAAAAUAUAUUUACUUUAAAGGGUAAUUAAC
rnacentral:lncRNA from 1 species